CAUCUUUCUGUUGUACAACACAGGCUACGUGUAGGCAAGCUGGGAAGAAAAUGAGAGACAAAGGCCCAUGUUUAACUGUAAAUAUAGAAUGCCUGGACACAGAACUACAGGACUUCUCAGCCUUGGCACUACCGACAUUGUGGGUUGGACACAUCUUGAGCCCGCCCUGUGCACUGCGGGAUGCGCAGCACCCAGGCUUCUCCCCGCUGAAGGCCAGCAUUACCCCACCCCAGCCGUGACCACCAAACCCUCUCCAGCACUGCCAAAGAGCCCUGGGCAUGAAAUUCCCCAGCCAGAACCAGUGACCUAGCUCUGGCCUGCCGGCCACACUGGAUCUCGGAGGACAGGGUUGCUGGGGGCCAAGUGGCUAGUGAGGAGACUGCUGUGGCCAACCUGGGCAGAAACGAGAAGAUGGCUCUGAGACUACCGAAGGACAACCAAAGAGAAGGCACAACAGGUAUUGGGUACCAAGUAGUUGUAGGUACUGAGGGAGAUGAAAAAGCCCAACUGCCGGCUCCCUAAGGGACCUACUUAUGCUCUUCACCAAGCUAGCAGAGACACUAAAAGGAGCACCUUUUUGACAAAGUGAUGAAUUCAGUCCUGAUCACAAGUCUCAGGUACUAGUAAGAUGCCAAGUGCUGCUAUCUAAAAGGCAGGUGGAUAUAAACCACUGCUCAGGAGCAAAAUCUUGGUUAAAGAAAUUUUAAUGUUUCAACACAGAAGAGACAGUAGAAGUCCUGGGGCCCAGGGACACAACCCAGGAAGAACAAAGACAGCAGGGACAAAGACACGGCCCAUUCCCUCCGUCCCACCCACGCAGAUCCCAGCACUCCUUCCUGCUGACCCCAGAUGCCACUUCACAAUCCUUCCAAAUACAGUGCUUCCAGGGAGCCUCUAAUAUUACAAAAGUGUACGUAUAACCUAUUUGCCACCCCUGAUGUAAGAAGGCUGAGAAACACUAACAUUUAAGGAAUAACUGAAAAAAGAGAAACCAGUGAAAAUAGUCUGAACUGGUAAAAGAAUGAGGGGAAAAAUCAAGAGGAUAAUGUUACAGAAAUCAAGAGAAGAAAGGGAACAGAAACUAGUAAGUGCCUAACACAUGGCAGGCAGUAUUUGGUGCUCUACAAGAUAUCUCGUUUAAUUCUUGCCACAGCUCUGCAUGGAGUCAUUAGUAUCCUCAACAUUUUAUAAUUAAGGAAACGAAUUCAGAAAUAUUAGGUAAUCCUCCCACAAUUGUAAAGGCAGCAAAGUUUAAACCUAGGACUAACAGCUCCAAAGAGUGUGUUCUAACCCGUUAUAGUUCUGCCUUCCACAGAUAGAAUGGUAGUCAAUUUCUCCCUCCAGCAAGGCAUUAAGGACCACAGAAGCUCCUUUACUGAACCUCUGAAGGGUUAACUGAGCUUAGAAAAUAAAAGACAGGCCCAGUUAUUUUACAACUGAUAUUAGCAGAUUUAACUCUGAACUUUGCCCCCUACAAAAAAAGUUCUAUUCACACACAGGUUAAAAUUAUUUCAAAUAAUUUCAAAAGAAAACUACCAAAGAAGGGGACUGGGGGGACAAAAAUCCCAAUUUGUAACAGUUGCAGUUCAUAUUAUUGAAAGUGCACAUGAAAGGAUUACUCUAUCACUUCAUGGAACAUAAAAACAUAAA